rnacentral:rRNA from 1 species
GACGAACGCUGGCGGCGUGCUUAACACAUGCAAGUCGAACGGAAAGGCCCUGCUUUUGUGCGGUGCUCGAGUGGCGAACGGGUGAGUAACACGUGAGUAACCUGCCCUUGACUUUGGGAUAACUUCAGGAAACUGGGGCUAAUACCGGAUAGGAGCUCCUGCUGCAUGGUGGGGGUUGGUAAGUUUGGGCGGUUGGGGAUGGACUCGCGGCUUAUCAGCUUGUUGGUGGGGUAGUGGCUUACCAAGGCUUUGACGGGUAGCCGGCCUGAGGGGGUGACCGGCCACAUUGGGACUGAGAUACGGCCCAGACUCCUACGGGAGGCAGCAGUGGGGAAUAUUGCACAAUGGGCGGAAGCCUGAUGCAGCAACGCCGCGUGCGGGAAGACGGCCUUCGGGUUGUAAACCGCUUUCGCCUGUGACGAAGCGUGAGUGACGGUAAUGGGUAAAGAAGCACCGGCUAACUACGUG